rnacentral:rRNA from 1 species
GAUGAACGCUAGCUACAGGCUUAACACAUGCAAGUCGAACGGAAUCCUUCGGGAUUUAGUGGCGGACGGGUGAGUAACACGUGAGAAUCUGCACUCAGGAUGGGGACAACAGCGGGAAACUGCUGCUAAUACCCAAUGUUCCGAAAGGUAAAAGAUUUAUGGCCUGAGAAUGAGCUCGCGGCCGAUUAGUUAGUUGGUGGGGUAAUGGCCUACCAAGACGGCGAUCGGUAGCUGGUCUGAGAGGAUGAGCAGCCACACUGGGACUGAGACACGGCCCAGACUCCUACGGGAGGCAGCAGUGGGGAAUUUUCCGCAAUGGGCGCAAGCCUGACGGAGCAAGACCGCGUGGGGGAGGAAGGCUCUUGGGUUGUAAACCCCUUUUCUCAAGGAAGAACAAAAUGACGGUACUUGAGGAAUCAGCCUCGGCUAACUCCGUGCCAGCAGCCGCCGUAA